UACCAGCUCUCCGAGUUGUAGGGAUGAUUAUUGGGCUUAAAGCGUCCGUAGCUGGCUUAGCAAGUCUCCUGUUAAAUUCAGCGACCUAAUCGUUGAGCCGCGGGAGAUACUACUAGGCUAGGAGGCGGGAGAGGUCGACGGUAUUUCCGGGGUAGGGGUGAAAUCCUAUAAUCCCGGGAAGACCACCAGUGGCGAAGGCUGUCGACUAGAACGCGCUCGACGGUGAGGGACGAAAGCUGGGGGAGCGAACCGGAUUAGAUACCCGGGUAGUCCCAGCUGUAAACGAUGCGGGCUAGGUGUUGGGGUGGCUACGGGCCACUUCAGUGCCGCAGGGAAGCCAUUAAGCCCGCCGCCUGGGGAGUACGGCCGCAAGGCUGAAACUUAAAGGAAUUGGCGGGGGAGCACCACAAGGCGUGAAGCUUGCGGUUC
rnacentral:rRNA from 1 species